UUAGUGGCGGACGGGUGAGUAACGCGUGGGCAACCUGCCUUACACAGGGGGAUAACACUUAGAAAUAGGUGCUAAAACCGCAUAAGCGCACAGCUUCGCAUGAAGCGGUGUGAAAAACUCCGGUGGUGUAAGAUGGACCCGCGUCUGAUUAGCUUGUUGGCGGGGUAACGGCCCACCAAGGCGACGAUCAGUAGCCGGCCUGAGAGGGCGGACGGCCACACUGGGACUGAGACACGGCCCAGACUCCUACGGGAGGCAGCAG
rnacentral:rRNA from 1 species